CUGAGGACUUCCUUAUGGUGACCUGGUGAUCUGACAUGUGUUUUUCAGGAUGGAAAGGAAGAUGAGUCCGGCCCAGUUGGCAAAGGCCAGAUUAAUAGGAACCUUGCAUUUGAAAUGAGAUGCACUCAUUUUCCCAGCUCCUUCUGGCUAUUCUAACAAGAUAACUGGUGCCUUGAGUUCUAUCUUAAUAUUUACAACUUCACCUGCAUGUUGGAAUUGGAAGAGGCAGACAAGGAGGAGGAGGUAUUUCAAGAAAGAAGAGGCAGGCUGCAGCUCCACCCCCCAGUGAAGAACCCAGGGCCAUGGGAGAUGCUAGCACUGGAGAGAAGGAAGGAGAAAGAAGUCUGAAUUCAAAGUGAGAUUGACACGUUGAACUGUAUCAGACUGAACCAGGCUUUGUAAGACCUGAGUGGAUAUAUGGGUCUGAGAUUACCCACAAUAAUAUCAAGGGGUGUGGAAAGGAGCCUCAAAGGGAAGAGAGUGGGAAAAAAUAUUUUAUGCUUAUAUUUCAUCUAUAGCUAGUUCACGAUAGUGAUUAUGAGUUCAAGUCCAAUCAGUGUGACUUUGGGCAAAUAAUUUACCAUGUUUGAGGCAUCUAUAGAUGAGUUUGGAUGACACUUAAACAUGCACGCACACACACACACACACACACACACACACCACAUCUCAAGGAUGUGGAAGAACUUUCUAAGU